GUAGAGGGAGGGGUGAGAAGAGAUCUGGUCUGCAAGGUAGCAUCGGGUGGGACGGGCAGAGCUGAUUGGAGAAUGGUGCCGGGGCAGAGGAACAGCAUGAGCGAAGGCAGAAGCCGAGGGUUUCUGUUACCUGUGGCCAACCGCGUUCUGGAAGCAGAUGAUCCUCCUUCCUACAUAGGGCCAGAAGGUCAAUAGCAGCCCGCCGGGUCACGCUGCCUAGGUCAUUCACCGCACUUCAUCUCAUCACGUAGGCGUCUUAUCAUCUCCCAUCAGCACAGGAAGAAGGGUGACAAGGAGCGGAGGAUGGGUCGCUUGGAUACGCUGCUCAAUGAUGGUUUCAUUCAUUCGCUGAUCCAUUCACUCGUGCAGUUAACCCAUACUCUGGGUCCCCUGCAGCCAGACCCGGUGCUGGUUUCUU